UACAGAGGGUGCAAGCGUUAAUCGGAUUGACUGGGCGUAAAGGGCGCGUAGGUGGUUAAUUAAGUUGGUUGUGAAAUCCCUAGGCUUAACCUAGGAGUUGCACCCAAGACUGAUUGACUAGAGUACGGUAGAGGGGAGUGGAAUUUCCGGAGUAGCGGUGAAAUGCGUAGAUAUCGGAAGGAACACCAGUGGCGAAGGCGACUCUCUGGGCCUGUACUGACACUGAGGCGCGAGAGCAUGGGUAGCGAAC
rnacentral:rRNA from 1 species